GAUGAACGCUGGCGGCGUGCCUAAUACAUGCAAGUCGAGCGAACGGACGAGAAGCUUGCUUCUCUGAUGUUAGCGGCGGACGGGUGAGUAACACGUGGAUAACCUACCUAUAAGACUGGGAUAACUUCGGGAAACCGGAUCUAAUACCGGAUAAUAUUUUGAACCGCAUGGUUCAAAAGUGAAAGACGGUCUUUCUGUCACUUAUAGAUGGAUCCGCGCUGCAUUAGCUAGUUGGUAAGGUAACGGCUUACCAAGGCAACGAUGCAUAGCCGACCUGAGAGGGUGAUCGGCCACACUGGAACUGAGACACGGUCCAGACUCCUACGGGAGGCAGCAGUAGGGAAUCUUCCGCAAUGGGCGAAAGCCUGACGGAGCAACGCCGCGUGAGUGAUGAAGGUCUUCGGAUCGUAAAACUCUGUUAUUAGGGAAGAACAUAUGUGUAAGUAACUGUGCACAUCUUGACGGUACCUAAUCAGAAAGCCACGGCUAACUACGUG
rnacentral:rRNA from 1 species